GGCUUAGAGUUUGAUCAUGGCUCAGGACGAACGCUGGCGGCGCGCCUAACACAUGCAAGUCGAACGGAACUUGAGAGAGCUUGCUUUUUCAAGUUUAGUGGCGAACGGGUGAGUAACGCGUGAGUAACCUGCCCUGGAGUGGGGGACAACAGUUGGAAACGACUGCUAAUACCGCAUAAGCCCACGAUCCGGCAUCGGAUUGGGGGAAAAGGAUUUAUUCGCUUCAGGAUGGACUCGCGUCCAAUUAGCUAGUUGGUGAGGUAACGGCCCACCAAGGCGACGAUUGGUAGCCGGACUGAGAGGUUGAACGGCCACAUUGGGACUGAGACACGGCCCAGACUCCUACGGGAGGCAGCAGUGGGGGAUAUUGCACAAUGGGGGAAACCCUGAUGCAGCGACGCCGCGUGGAGGAAGAAGGUUUUCGGAUUGUAAACUCCUGUCGUUAGGGACGAAUCAUGACGGUACCUAGCAAGAAAGCACCGGCUAACUACGUGCCAGCAGCCGCGGUAAAACGUAGGGUGCAAGCGUUGUCCGGAAUUACUGGGUGUAAAGGGAGCGCAGGCGGACCGGCAAGUUGGAAGUGAAAUCUAUGGGCUCAACCCAUAAAUUGCUUUCAAAACUGCUGGCCUUGAGUAGUGCAGAGGUAGGUG
rnacentral:rRNA from 1 species